GGCCGCGUGGCCUAAUGGCUAAGGCGUUGGUUUUCGGUUCUCAGGAAUAGAAGUUCGCCAAAGAUUGUGCGUUCGAGUCGCAUCGUGGUCG